rnacentral:rRNA from 1 species
AACGUAGGUUCCGAGCGUUGUCCGGAUUUACUGGGCGUAAAGAGCGCGCAGGCGGCUGGUCAAGUCCGAUGUGAAAGCUCCCGGCUUAACUGGGAAAUUGCAUCGGAAACUGAUCGGCUGGAAGGUGGGAGAGGGUAGCGGAAUUCCCGGUGUAGUGGUGAAAUGCGUAGAUAUCGGGAGGAACACCAGUGGCGAAAGCGGCUACCUGGCCCAUUCUUGACGCUGAGGCGCGAAAGCUAGGGGAGCAAACGGG